GAUGAACGCUGGCGGCGUGCCUAAUACAUGCAAGUCGAGCGAACAGACGAGGAGCUUGCUCCUCUGAUGUUAGCGGCGGACGGGUGAGUAACACGUGGAUAACCUACCUAUAAGACAGGGAUAACUUCGGGAAACCGGAGCUAAUACCGGAUAACAUGUUGAACCGCAUGGUUCAACAGUGAAAGACGGUCUUGCUGUCACUUAUAGAUGGAUCCGCGCCGCAUUAGCUAGUUGGUAAGGUAACGGCUUACCAAGGCAACGAUGCGUAGCCGACCUGAGAGGGUGAUCGGCCACCCUGGAACUGAGACACGGUCCAGACUCCUACGGGAGGCAGCAGUAGGGAAUCUUCCGCAAUGGGCGAAAGCCUGACGGAGCAACGCCGCGUGAGUGAAGAAGGUCUUCGGAUCGUAAAACUCUGUUAUUAGGGAAGAACAAAUGUGUAAGUAACUAUGCACGUCUUGACGGUACCUAAUCAGAAAGCCACGGCUAACUACGUG
rnacentral:rRNA from 1 species